UUACUAAAUUUUAAUAAUAAAAUUACUAAAUUUAGAACAAUGCAGAGAUUAACAUGGCCCCUAGGCAAAGGUGGCAUGCAGAUUUGUGAAGUGUUCCGUAUUUCU
rnacentral:snRNA from 1 species